AGAGUUUGAUCCUGGCUCAGGACGAACGCUGGCGGCGUGCCUAAUACAUGCAAGUCGUACGCUUCUUUUUCCACCGGAGCUUGCUCCACCGGAAAAAGAGGAGUGGCGAACGGGUGAGUAACACGUGGGUAACCUGCCCAUCAGAAGGGGAUAACACUUGGAAACAGGUGCUAAUACCGUAUAACAAUCGAAACCGCAUGGUUUUGAUUUGAAAGGCGCUUUCGGGUGUCGCUGAUGGAUGGACCCGCGGUGCAUUAGCUAGUUGGUGAGGUAACGGCUCACCAAGGCCACGAUGCAUAGCCGACCUGAGAGGGUGAUCGGCCACAUUGGGACUGAGACACGGCCCAAACUCCUACGGGAGGCAGCAGUAGGGAAUCUUCGGCAAUGGACGAAAGUCUGACCGAGCAACGCCGCGUGAGUGAAGAAGGUUUUCGGAUCGUAAAACUCUGUUGUUAGAGAAGAACAAGGAUGAGAGUAACUGUUCAUCCCUUGACGGUAUCUAACCAGAAAGCCACGGCUAACUACGUGCCAGCAGCCGCGGUAAUACGUAGGUGGCAAGCGUUGUCCGGAUUUAUUGGGCGUAAAGCGAGCGCAGGCGGUUUCUUAAGUCUGAUGUGAAAGCCCCCGGCUCAACCGGGGAGGGUCAUUGGAAACUGGGAGACUUGAGUGCAGAAGAGGAGAGUGGAAUUCCAUGUGUAGCGGUGAAAUGCGUAGAUAUAUGGAGGAACACCAGUGGCGAAGGCGGCUCUCUGGUCUGUAACUGACGCUGAGGCUCGAAAGCGUGGGGAGCAAACAGGAUUAGAUACCCUGGUAGUCCACGCCGUAAACGAUGAGUGCUAAGUGUUGGAGGGUUUCCGCCCUUCAGUGCUGCAGCUAACGCAUUAAGCACUCCGCCUGGGGAGUACGACCGCAAGGUUGAAACUCAAAGGAAUUGACGGGGGCCCGCACAAGCGGUGGAGCAUGUGGUUUAAUUCGAAGCAACGCGAAGAACCUUACCAGGUCUUGACAUCCUUUGACCACUCUAGAGAUAGAGCUUCCCCUUCGGGGGCAAAGUGACAGGUGGUGCAUGGUUGUCGUCAGCUCGUGUCGUGAGAUGUUGGGUUAAGUCCCGCAACGAGCGCAACCCUUAUUGUUAGUUGCCAUCAUUUAGUUGGGCACUCUAGCAAGACUGCCGGUGACAAACCGGAGGAAGGUGGGGAUGACGUCAAAUCAUCAUGCCCCUUAUGACCUGGGCUACACACGUGCUACAAUGGGAAGUACAACGAGUCGCGAAGUCGCGAGGCUAAGCUAAUCUCUUAAAGCUUCUCUCAGUUCGGAUUGCAGGCUGCAACUCGCCUGCAUGAAGCCGGAAUCGCUAGUAAUCGCGGAUCAGCACGCCGCGGUGAAUACGUUCCCG
rnacentral:rRNA from 1 species